GUCGACGGUGAGAGGAGCUUGCUCCUCGGAACAGUGGCGGACGGGUGAGUAACACGUGAGCAACCUGGCUCUAAGAGGGGGACAACAGUUGGAAACGACUGCUAAUACCGCAUAACGUAUCGGGAUGGCAUCUUCCUGAUACCAAAGAUUUUAUCGCUUAGAGAUGGGCUCGCGUCUGAUUAGAUAGUUGGCGGGGUAACGGCCCACCAAGUCGACGAUCAGUAGCCGGACUGAGAGGUUGAACGGCCACAUUGGGACUGAGACACGGCCCAGACUCCUACGGGAGGCAGCAGUGGGGGAUAUUGGACAAUGGGGGCAACCCUAAUCCAGCGACGCCGCGUGAGGGAAGAAGGUUUUCGGAUUGUAAACCUCUGUUGACGGAGAAAAAAAUGAUGGUAUCCGUUUAGAAAGCCACGGCUAACUACGUGCCAGCAGCCGCGGUAAUACGUAGGUGGCAAGCGUUGUCCGGAAUUACUGGGUGUAAAGGGAGUGUAGGCGGGAUAUCAAGUCAGAAGUGAAAAUUACGGGCUCAACUCGUAACCUGCUUUUGAAACUGACAUUCUUGAGUGAAGUAGAGGCAAGCGGAAUUCCUAGUGUAGCGGUGAAAUGCGUAGAUAUUAGGAGGAACACCAGUGGCGAAGGCGGCUUGCUGGGCUUUUUACUGACGCUGAGGCUCGAAAGCGUGG
rnacentral:rRNA from 1 species